rnacentral:rRNA from 1 species
CCUACGGGAGGCAGCAGUGAGGAAUAUUGGUCAAUGGGCGCGAGCCUGAACCAGCCAAGUAGCGUGAAGGAUGACUGCCCUACGGGUUGUAAACUUCUUUUAUAAAGGAAUAAAGUGAGGCACGUGUGCCUUUUUGUAUGUACUUUAUGAAUAAGGAUCGGCUAACUCCGUGCCAGCAGCCGCGGUAAUACGGAGGAUCCGAGCGUUAUCCGGAUUUAUUGGGUUUAAAGGGAGCGUAGAUGGGUUGUUAAGUCAGUUGUGAAAGUUUGCGGCUCAACCGUAAAAUUGCAAUUGAUACUGGCAGGCUUGAGUACAGGUGAGGUAGGCGGAAUUCGUGGUGUAGCGGUGAAAUGCUUAGAUAUCACGAAGAACUCCGAUUGCGAAGGCAGGUUACUGGGACGGUUCUGACACUAAGGCACGAAAGCGUAGGGAGCAAACGGGAUUAGAUACCCGAGUAGUC